UUUCCGUAGGUGAACCUGCGGAAGGGUCAUUAUUGAAUGAACUUGGUAGUGGUUGUAGCUGGCUCUCUCGAGAGCAUGUGCACACCCGCCAUCUUUAUCUUUCCACCUGUGCACUUCUUGUAGACUUUGGGAUUUGAAAACUUAUCCGGGGCAACUCGGUCGGGAGGAGCUGCUGUAGCAAUACGGCUCUCCUUGACAAGUCUUCAAAGUCUAUGUUUUUCAUAUACCCCAUAGUAUGUAACAGAAUGUAUACAAACGAGCCUUAGUGCUUGUAAAACUUAUACAACUUUCAACAACGGAUCUCUUGGCUCUC
rnacentral:misc_RNA from 1 species